rnacentral:rRNA from 1 species
CCUACGGGUGACAGCAGUCGAGAAUCAUUCACAAUGGGGGAAACCCUGAUGGUGCGACGCCGCGUGGGGGAAUGAAGGUCUUCGGAUUGUAAACCCCUGUCAUGUGGGAGCACAUUAAAAAGAUCGUACCACAAGAGGAAGAGACUGCUAACUCUGUGCCAGCAGCCCCGGUACUACAGAGGUCUCAAGCGUUGUUCGGAAUCACUGGGCGUAAAGCGUGGGUGGGCUGUUUCGGAAUUCGGGUGUGAAAGGCGCGGGCUCAACCCGCGGGCGUCCUAUGAUACUGCGAGACUAGAGUAAUGGAGGGGGAACCGGAAUUCUCGGUGUAGCAGUGAAAUGCGUAGAUAUCGAGAGGAACACUCGUGGCGAAGGCGGGUUGCUGGACAUUAACUGACGCUGAGGCACGAAGGCCAGGGGAGCGAAAGGGAUUAGAUACCCCAGUAGUC